GACGUAGGGUCCGAGCGUUGUCCGGAGUUACUGGGCGUAAAGGGCGCGUAGGCGGCUUUGUGCGUCACCCGUGAAAGCCCCCGGCUCAACCGGGGAGGGUCGGGUGAAACGGCGGAGCUGGAGGCAGCGAGAGGCUGGUGGAAUUCCCGGAGUUGUGGUGAAAUGCGUAGAGAUCGGGAGGAACACCAGAGGCGAAAGCGGCGACCUGGACAGGCACUGACACUCAACUACGAAAGCGUGGGGAGCAAACAGG
rnacentral:rRNA from 1 species